ACUCCUACGGAGGCAGCAGUAGGAAUUUCCGCAAUGGACGAAAGUCAUGACGGAGCAAUGCCGCGUGAGUGAUGAAGGUUUUCGAAAUUCGUAAAGCUCUGAUUGUAAGGGAAGAAUAGCAGUAGUAGGAAAUGACUACUGUGUGACGGUACCUUACCAGAAAGCCACGGCUAACUACGUGCCAGCAGCCGCGGUAAUACGUAGGUGGCAAGCGUUAUCCGGAAUUAUUGGCGUAAAGCGCAUGUAGGCGGCUCUUUGAAGUCUGAUGUGAAAAGCCUGUGGCAUCAACCACAGAAUUGCAUUGGAUACUGGAGAGCUAGAAUCUUGGAGAGGUAAGUGGAA
rnacentral:rRNA from 1 species